AGAAGCAUGGUAUAUAAGAUUCAGGUUCCAAUACAAGUUUCAACCGUAUAGAAACGAAACAACCCAAAACCACAACGUGAGUGAGAAGAUUUUCUGAUGAUCCAAAAGGGAAAAAAACAAAAGAAAAAUGAGCCACAAUAAAAGAUCAUAGAUCAUUACAGAACUAAAGGAAAUGAUAUCUCAAACCCUUAACAUAUAUAAUGCAGCAAACCCCCAAAAGGGUCGAGUGCAGAUAAGAUACUUUCAUGGAAGGGUUAAGAUUCAGAAUCCGCUUCAAGAGUCAGGUUCAGGCUUGUAAUGUUAAGGGGCGUGCCUA
rnacentral:misc_RNA from 1 species